rnacentral:rRNA from 1 species
UGGGGAAUUUUGGACAAUGGGCGAAAGCCUGAUCCAGCAAUGCCACGUGUGUGAAGAAGGCCUUCGGGUUGUAAAGCACUUUUGUCCGGAAAGAAAUCCUUGGCUCUAAUACAGUCGGGGGAUGACGGUACCGGAAGAAUAAGCACCGGCUAACUACGUGCCAGCAGCCGCGGUAAUACGUAGGGUGCAAGCGUUAAUCGGAAUUACUGGGCGUAAAGCGUGCGCAGGCGGUUUGCUAAGACCGAUGUGAAAUCCCCGGGCUCAACCUGGGAACUGCAUUGGUGACUGGCAGGCUAGAGUAUGGCAGAGGGGGGUAGAAUUCCACGUGUAGCAGUGAAAUGCGUAGAGAUGUGGAGGAAUACCGAUGGCGAAGGCAGCCCCCCUGGGCCAAUACUGACGCUCAUGCACGAAAGCGUGGGGGAGCAAAACAGGAUUAGAUACCCCUGGUAGUCCACGCCCUAAACGAUGUCAACUAGUUGUUGGGGGAUUCAUUUCCCUAGUAACGUAGCUAACGCGUGAAGUUGACCGCCUGGGGAGUACGGUCGCAAGAUUAAAACUUAAAGGAAUUGACGGGGU